rnacentral:rRNA from 1 species
CCUACGGGAGGCAGCAGUGGGGAAUAUUGCACAAUGGGGGAACCCCUGAUGCAGCGACGCCGCGUGAGUGAAGAAGUAUUUCGGUAUGUAAAGCUCUAUCAGCAGGGCAGAAAAUGACGGUACCUGCUUAAGAAGCCCCGGCUAACUACGUGCCAGCAGCCGCGGUAAUACGUAGGGGGCAAGCGUUAUCCGGAUUUACUGGGUGUAAAGGGUGCGUAGACGGUGAUGCAAGUCAGAAGUGAAAGCCCGGGGCUCAACUCCGGGACUGCUUUUGAAACUGUGUGACUGGAGUGCAGGAGAGGUAAGCGGAAUUCCUGGGGUAGCGGUGAAAUGCGUAGAUAUUAGGAGGAACACCAGUGGCGAAGGCGGCUUACUGGACUGUAACUGACGUUGAGGCUCGAAAGCGUGGGGAGCAAACAGGAUUAGAUACCCGGGUAGUC